rnacentral:rRNA from 1 species
GACAGAGGCCUCGAGCGUUAGGCGGAAUCACUGGGCUUAGAGCGUGUGUAGGCGGAUGCCUAAGUACCUUGUGAAAUCCCACGGCUCACCCGUGGAACCGCUGGGUAUACUGGGCGUCUUGGGCCAUUCAGGGGCGACUGGAACAAGCGGUGGAGCGGUGAAAUGCGUAGAUAUCGCUUGGAACGCCGACGGUGAAAACAGGUCGCUGGGAAUGUGCCGACGCUGAGACACGAAAGCCAGGGGAGCAAACGGG